GAUUUUUUGACUGUCAUAGAAAGAACUGAGUCUUGAUCGCUUUGUCCAUAUCAGAAGUUUAGAGAUGCGUGGUGGCAUAAAGGGGACCACAAUUAAAGGCAGAGCAACAGGACUGUAGGAGGAACAUGACAUCUCCUGGGAAGGCUUUCAAGAGAAGGAGCUAGUGGACUGUAUAAGCAUCAGCAACAGCUUUUGGGCUAACAGCCAGUCCUAAGGACCUGUGACAGGAAGCGCCUUCACUUCACUUUGGCUCCACCCAUUAGAUCUUUUUGGUGCCUCGCUACCAGCUCCUGGAGGUCAGAAAAUCACCAGACAUGUCCAUAGCACUCAAGCAAGUCUUUAAUAAGGACAAGACCUUCCGUCCCAAAAGGAAAUUUGAACCUGGGACUCAGAGGUUUGAGCUCCAUAAACGAGCACAGGCCUCUCUGAACUCAGGGGUGGACCUGAAAGCAGCUGUGCAGCUGCCGAAUGGAGAAGACCAAAAUGACUGGGUGGCAGUACAUGUGGUUGACUUCUUUAACAGGAUCAACCUCAUCUAUGGAACGAUCUGUGAGUUCUGCACAGAGAGGACCUGCCCUGUGAUGUCUGGGGGCCCUAAGUAUGAGUACAGGUGGCAGGAUGACCUGAGAUACAAGAAGCCCACAGCAUUACCAGCACCUCAAUAUAUGAACCUUCUCAUGGACUGGAUUGAGGUGCAAAUCAACAAUGAGGACAUAUUCCCUACUAGUGUGGGUGUUCCCUUUCCAAAGAACUUCCUUCAGAUCUGCAAGAAGAUCCUGUGCAGGCUUUUCCGGGUAUUCGUUCAUGUCUACAUUCAUCAUUUCGACCGCAUCAUCAUUAUGGGUGCUGAGGCCCAUGUCAAUACUUGUUACAAGCACUUUUAUUACUUUGUAACAGAGCUCAACCUCAUAGACCGCAAGGAGCUUGAACCUUUGUGUGUGUAUGUCUAGUCUCUUUGUGCAGCUGUUAUAUCUUUUCAUUCCCAGCUGGGGCUCAAGACCAUAGUACCACAGACCAGAGUCAACAGUUCCUGCAUUCCCUCCUCUCCAUUAGAAGAGAAGGAGAUGACAACCAGGAUGUGUCACUAAAGAGCCACCCAUUGAACAUGAGAGAAAUCCAAUUUCCUCCUUCCUGCAGAGCUAGAGGAUGUGAUCACCUUCGCAGACUGAACCUGCCUGUUAAAUCCCACUAGCAGGAAAGUUGAGGACAGAAGGUUACUUUCACAGAUGCUUCCCACCAUUAUCUAUGCUCUUAACCCUAUAAUGCUGCUAGAAACUUCCUAUGAGUGACAUGGAUUACCAAGAGAGAGCAUUAACUUCGUUUUUUAAAUUGCUGAAUUAUUGAGGAGGAACUCUUCAGUCACAAACGAUGAUAGUCCAUGUUCCUACUGUUCAAGCUUUACUGGAAAUCAGGUUUCUAGGUUGACCUGUGCAUUUUUAAUUUGGACAAGAACAUGGUAAUUAGUUAAAAAUGUUUUUCUGUAUGUACUUUGCUUUCCAGGUAUGGCAUAAUAUUAAGAAGAAUCCCAGCAAGGUUCUAAUUGAACUUUGUGUCCCUUCACACCACCCAAAAUGUGUUGGUAAAGCUUCCCCAAUACCAGAUGCCUCAGCAUCUGUAGGAAUGAAACUGUUUUCUCCAGAUCAGGCAGGAUGGAAUUUGAUUGCGGUUUUUUUGAUUGGGUUUUUUUGCUUUUUUUUUUCCAUUUUGACUCUUGAUCAGAUAACAGCAGGGCAGAUUCUCACCUCUGUAGAAAUCCAAGGUAACCUCAGUGGACUCACUCUAGGAUUUACAGUCCCCUUCAUUUUUCCCUGCCCUAUUUUUAUUCCUCCCUACCCCCACCACCACCACCCCCCUCCACACACAUGCACACGCUUCUGUCUUUCAAGGUGAGGAUGUCCCUCAUACGGUGUAAAUUUAAGAUGAUCAUUGGUAUGAAGGUUACAUCAGGGCCACAGGGUAUGACAUUACUAGAAAAGUCCAGUAUGUCAUUUUCAGUGUACAGUCUGAUUUUAAACCACUGAUAACAACAUCUCAUUCGCUUAGGUAACACGUGACUGCUGCCACAGGGCUCUUUCUAAAUAUUUGAAAUAGUUUCUACUGAAGGAGGGUCUCCAGGGACAGAGUUGAACAAAUGGAAAACAAGUAGUACAGUCCCAUGUAUUCUGUGCCUUCUAAGGAAUUUCGCAUAGCCCUUUUAUUGUAUAAUAAAGAUAAUACUUUCCUGGGCAGUUCUUGAACCUGUUCCCUGAUAUCCAUCUAUUCCCAAUCCACCUGAAUGAUUUUAACAGUCUUUACUUCUGAGAUCAUAUUGGAAAUGAAUUCCACAGUGAUGGGGUACCAGCAAUGAGUUGUGCUAAACUGAAAUGUAGCUGUCAGUAAAGAAGAACAGCAAGCAUAUGUGAGCUUACUGUAUUUUCUCACAUACACCAUGCCCCAAAAUAAAGCAUGCACCUUGUAUUUGACAGAAAGAAUGUAGGGGAAAAAAAGAUUUUUCCGGAGUCAUGGCCAACGGCAUGACAUAGAGUUAAAAGUCUUCCCAGGUAAUGUGGCUUCAGGACCUUCCAGAUGUGGUACAGUUUCCUGCAGUGCCACACUUCCUGGAUACUGUGGCUAGGGACAGACAUUCAAAAUACCUGAGCCUGAAUUGAUUCAGUCUUCGCAGGUUAGUCUAA